CUAGUUGGUAGGGUAACGGCUUACCAAGGCAACGAUCGAUAGCUGGUGUGAGAGCACGACCAGCCACACGGGCACUGAGAUACGGGCCCGACUCCUACGGGAGGCAGCAGUAAGGAAUAUUGGUCAAUGGACGAAAGUCUGAACCAGCCAUGCCGCGUGAGGGAUGAAGGUCCUCUGGAUUGUAAACCUCUUUUAUCUAUGAAGAAAUGUCCUGUUUCUACGGGAUUUGACGGUAAUAGAUGAAUAAGCACCGGCUAACUCCGUGCCAGCAGCCGCGGUAAUACGGAGGGUGCAAGCGUUAUCCGGAUUUACUGGGUUUAAAGGGUGCGUAGGUGGGUUGGUAAGUCAGUGGUGAAAUACUUUCGCUUAACGAAGGAACUGCCAUUGAUACUACCAGUCUUGAAUACAGUGGAGGUAGGCGGAAUGCGUCAUGUAGCGGUGAAAUGCUUAGAUAUGACGCAGAACACCAAUUGCGAAGGCAGCUUGCUACACUGUUAUUGACACUGAGGCACGAAAGCGUGGGGAUCAAACAGGAUUAGAUACCCUGGUAGUCCACGCCCUAAACGAUGAUUACUCGAUCUCAGCGAUACACUGUUGGGGUCUAUGUGAAAGCAUUAAGUAAUCCACCUGGGGAGUACGAUCGCAAGAUUGAAACUCAAAGGAAUUGACG
rnacentral:rRNA from 1 species